GGCUUUAGGUUGUCGGCAAUAAGUUUCUUCACUUCCGACGCAAAUACCAUUUCUGGCUGUGCAAGCGAAUCUAUGCAACUCGCCUAUAAUCAAUAAGACGGUCAUCAUCAAUUUAAUUUAUAUUCGCAAAAAUUUUUGUCAUACUUACUGGACCAACUAUAUCGGCAACAUGGGACACUGUAGUCCCUGAUGCAGCACCCAGAUAUAAUACUUUACUGCCAUGAGGCAUGUAAAUUUGAUCAACUCCGCC